GGCAGCCCCCGGGCGCUACUGCUGAGCCUGGCGGCGCAUAGGCAGGAGGAGCUGAGCUCUCCCUUCCCGCCCAGGGGCUGGUACUGCAGGGAGUCCGGCCCGGCUCUGGCGGUGCGCCACUGGGCUCCUCGCCCACUGUCCCUGCACGGAGCAGGCCGCCAGCAAGGCCUCGGACCGGGUCGCGCUGCCCGCCUGGCCCUGCAGCUCGGGGAGACCCAUGCCCUGCUGCGGAGCUGGCACCCGGGCCUCUGUGCUGGAAGGUGCCCCCCUCCCCCGUCGGAAAGGGCAAGGCCCGCUGCCCCCCGCACCCAGCCGAGCGAGGAGGGGAUGCCUGCCAAGGUCAAAAGCUAAAGGGGGUUAAAAAGAAACUCUCUAUGGCAGGUUAUUCCAUAACUAUAUUCUGAACGUUUUUCUGUAUCUUCCUAUGAGGCACGUGGGAUGGCACGUGAAAAACAGAGAGUUGCUGUGAAUUCUCACUCGCUGCUGAACAGAGGAAGCAAUUUUCAUAGAUGCCUUCUUUACAAGGGACCUUUCCACAGCUCCAGGUUUCCAUAGCAACAGCUGUGCAUCCUCUCCACCAGUCAACAAAGAAUCAUCUGUCAUGUUCCAGUAGAAUGAGCGAACUGCAGCAGAAUGCCCUCCAUGAAGGGUGCCCACAAGGCUCAGUCCAUCAAUGCCACAGUUUAUUAGGUGAAUGUUUCCCAUAGCUGUUCCACCAACAAAAAACAAUUUGUCUGCCUUUUCAUGGUACAAGCCACCUAUCAGAUAGUUUAAGUUGCUAUUUUCAAUGAAGACUACUUCUCUGACAUCUUGAAUCUGCAACAAUGUCAUUGGUUCCUCCGUAUCUAUUUGAGUAAGAUCCCACCAACAAAAUCCUUCCGUAUGUGUCAUGCAAUAUACCUGUUUAUAAUCUUUCCCAGACCAACCAAUAAAACUUACUGAUGAAUUUGAA